CUCCUGCUCGUCGCUGAGGGCCGUCCAGGAGAACAGUCCGCGGUUCUCCUUCUAGUGUCGGACACCUCCUCAUCUCUCAUUACUAUUCAGUAGCGGGUUAGCAGCUUUUAGCCUCUCCGUUCGGCUCUGCAUCCAGAGAGAGAGAGAGAGAGAGAGAGAGAGAGAGAGAGAGAGGAGAACCACACAUUUCUGCUCAGACAACGUGACUGCAUGCCAUGAAUGACGAGAAGUGCUAAAUGCGAGGAGAAGGACCGCUGAUUUGGGAUUUUAUCCAUAAACGCACCUGGCACAGCAAGGAAGCCAGACUUCAGACCGGGGAUCCUGGAACAACACACAAACACAGACAUACACACACACACACACACACACUCAGAUACAUUUGAUCAUGACAUAAAAAGCUUCUUAACUGAACUGGAAGCAGUGUUUUGUGCCUUAGGCGUCCAGGUGACACAGAAACACACACAUCAAAAGCAGUUGAAACAGAAAGACAGCAGUUUGUGUGUGCAGGUGAGUUAAGCAGGUGUUUAUUUGGCAUCAGAUGAACAUGGGCAGAGCAGACAGCUGGCAUAAAGUGGGCACUGCAGGGGUCUUACCCUCGGAUUACAGUUUAGCAGAUUAGAGCUAAGCAGCAGUCACCUCAAGCUCACCAGCCUCAUGAAACUUACGCCGCCAGCCAAUAUGGCGUGCACAAACACACACACACCGGCACAGCUGUAGAACACAAUUAAAUUAGUGCAGCUGGCAGACGGUGUGCAACCCCAGCUUAACACCAUACACACAUUAAAUCACUGGCACAAAGACGCGCUCGCACAAACACACUGGGAUGCAGGACAGACGCUCGCCCCCACCCUCCCUCCCAUCGUCCUCGCAAAGCCAGCUGGAGAGAAGAUGAGAUUUGGGGCUGAUUGGUUUUGUCUUUUUUUCCACCGCAGCCUCUGCACAUCACUCCAUCCACCACUUUCUCCUUUCCUUGGCGCAGCUACAUCCCCCGGCGAACCAUCGUCAUAAAAAUCUUUUUUUCCGUCGGAAGAAAAUCGGACAAUCGGCUUGUGAUGCUUUGAUUACUUCCAAAGUUAUUUUCUCCUUUUUUGUUGUUUUUGAUUUGGUUUUUGAUUUCUAUGACCACAAAGUGGAUCAGUGAAAGGACUUCUUGAUUGGUUGUUGGACUUUUUUUUAUUUCUUAAUACUAUAUCAGCCAGGCUUGGCUAACAAACUGACAUCUCCAAGGUGAUGUUGGCAGAUGGUUUACUCAUGAAAUCUGCUGCUGCUCUCAUUUUUUCCAUUAAGUUUUUAUCAUUCAUCGCCAAGAAUUGAAAGUUUUUAUCCCAACUUUUAUAAACUUUGUUUGAGAAAAGCGUGCAGAGACUGGCAUCAGAGAGGAGCUUUAAACUCAACACGACUGUUAUUCACCAAGUAGCUCUCAGAGGCUCAGUGAAACAGGCAGAGACACACAAUGGAGUGAAAGGGGUGAAAGAGUAGAAGAGAGACCUUGAGACGGAGAGGUUGAACCUUGAGAGAAAACCAAAUAGAGAAGAUAAAAAAAUACAGAAGAGAGAAAAAAACGGCACAUAACUGAGGAACCAAGCAGCGAAGGAGAAAAGAGAGGGAGAAAAGAGGUAUUUUUCUGGUCUAGGAUGGCUAGAGACGUGAUGGAACACCCUUCAGGCCAGACCUCCUCCCUUCUACCGCUCCUCCUCCCUCUCCACCUCCUCCCAUCUUCCCUCCCUCUCUCCGCUGCUCUCAACUAGUCUGCCAGGUUUCUUUGGCUACGUCGCUUCAGUGCAACGAGAGAGAAAGAGAAAAGGAGAGAAAGCAGAGCGUUGGAGCCCAGCUCAACAUUCACACAGAUGGCAGAGGAAACGAAAGGGACCUGCUGCAUCCCUCAACACCAUGCACUGGAUUUCACUGAAGAUGGACAAUGCACUUAAUCCCCCCCAAAAAAGAGGGAGGGAACA